UCUCUGGAUACUAAUAACACAGAGAGAAACGGGUGUACACUGCUUUCAUGUGGCACACAGUUGGAGAGGGGAGGAGAGACGCGUGUGUGUAACAAACAAGCUGCUCUCAACCAUCCAAACUCACAGGUUAGCCAACAGAAAGAGGGCGUAAGGAAGGAAAGCAUUGAGAGGGGCGCUUGCAAACAAUGUUAUCGAUGCCGUUAUUUCAUGUCAGCCACGUAGCACGCUCGCAGAAACGCACAACACCACGCGGUUAACGUUGUGAAACGAUUGGUUAACAAACUACUCGGUGAAGGUUCGAAACAAUAACAAGGACGGUGGAAUGACGCGACAACUAAGACAUGUGCCUUUCAGUGGGUGAGGCCCGACAGACGUCCACGUCCCCGGAUCCCGCUCCACCGUACCCACGAGUGUGCCGGGUGUGGACCCCUCAACCACAGAUCCACCGGGACACCUUCCAUGUUUGUCUAGGCUCUCACCUUCCUGUGCUGAGCCCUCAGCUUCCAGGUGUCAGAGAGGAAUGUCUGUGAACGUCACACAGAGACAGGCGGAGAGGGCCGACAGGCACUUGUAGGGACUUGCUGCUGCAUGUGCUCAUCUCACUGUGUCCACGUUUGACGGUGACAAACCUCACUUAACGGGCGCCUUCUUCGACAUCUCUUUACAGCGUGUCACAGUUAGGGGGACUUAUUGCCGGGGAAAUGGAAUAAAAAUAUUCAUAACUA